rnacentral:tRNA from 1 species
GGACGGUUAGCUCAGCGGUAGAGCGCUUCGUUGACAUCGAAGAGGUCACAGGUUCAAGUCCUGUACCGUCCA